UACGUAGGGUGCAAGCGUUAAUCGGAAUUACUGGGCGUAAAGCGUGCGCAGGCGGUUAUGCAAGACAGAGGUGAAAUCCCCGGGCUCAACCUGGGAACUGCCUUUGUGUCUGCAUAGCUAGAGUACGGUAGAGGGGGAUGGAAUUCCGCGUGUAGCAGUGAAAUGCGUAGAUAUGCGGAGGAACACCGAUGGCGAAGGCAAUCCCCUGGACCUGUACUGACGCUCAUGCACGAAAGCGUGGGGAGCAAACAGG
rnacentral:rRNA from 1 species